rnacentral:lncRNA from 1 species
GCAGGGGGUACCAGGGAUUGAACUCUGGGGUACUCCACCACUGAGCCACGUCCCUAGCCCUAUUUUGUAUUUUCUUUAGAGACAGGGUCUUGCUGAGUUGCUCAGUGCCUCACCAUUGCUGAGGCUGGCUUGGAACUCUCAGAUCCUCCUGCCUCAGGCCCCCAAGCUGCUGGGAUUACAGGUGUGCACCACGGCACCCAGCUUGACUUGACUUUUGGAGUCUGAGUUGGCCUCCUGAGCUGAACUACUCCAUUGCUGAUGCUGUAGUGCGAUUAUGUAACUGACGAUAUAUUUCUUCCAUGGAGAGCCGUGUGAAGAUAGUCUUCUCCAAAAAUGACAUCUGAAAGCUUGUACCAACAUGAUUUCACACACACACACACACACUUAUUUUUCUUAUUUCAUAAUAGGCAAAAUCUUGAUUCUGAACAUGCCAUCAGUCCUUAACCCAGCUUCUAGAAACUACUGCAGUUUUUCAGUGAAUAUGAUGGGGUACCCCAUCUGGGAAUAGUCCUCGUCCAUACCACUCUUGGGGAGCACACCUGGGAUCUGUGUUAAUACCCAUGAUUCCACUGGGCUGAUCAGAUGCUGGCCCCAAAUCAGAGCCCCCCUGGGGGAGGCUGGUCCCAUCUCUCUGCUGACUGGGGGUCCUUCCAACCCCUCCCUCCAGAAUUUGGAGCGAGUGACAGAGUGACAGAGACUAUAUUAAACUAGAGAGCACGCCACUGAAAGGUCAUGAAGAGUUGGGAGAAGCAGUUUUAGGCAUAAACAGAGAGAAAAGUGGAGAAUGAGACAAAUCUGAAGAAGUUCAAGCAAGACACUA